GGGCUCAUAGCUUAGCUAGGUAGAGCGUCGGACUCAUAAUCCGAUGGCCGCCGGUUCAAAUCCGGCUGGGCCCACCA
rnacentral:tRNA from 3 species